UACGUAGGUGGCAAGCGUUGUCCGGAUUUACUGGGCGUAAAGAGCGCGCAGGCGGUCGGAUAAGUCGAAUGUGAAAGCCCCUGGCUCAACCAGGGAGGGUCAUUCGAUACUGUUCGACUCGAAGGCAGGAGAGGGAAGUGGAAUUCCGGGUGUAGUGGUGAAAUGCGUAGAUAUCCGGAGGAACACCAGUGGCGAAGGCGGCUCACUGGCCCGGUACUGACGCUGAGAUGCGAAAGCGUGGGGAGCAAACAGG
rnacentral:rRNA from 1 species